rnacentral:rRNA from 1 species
CAGUAGCCACGGUAAUACGAAGGGGGCUAGCGUUGUUCGGAAUUACUGGGCGUAAAGCGCACGUAGGCGGACAUUUAAGUCAGGGGUGAAAUCCCGGGGCUCAACCCCGGAACUGCCUUUGAUACUGGGUGUCUAGAGUAUGGAAGAGGUGAGUGGAAUUCCGAGUGUAGAGGUGAAAUUCGUAAAUAUUCGGAGGAACACCAGUGGCGAAGGCGGCUCACUGGUCCAUUACUGACGCUGAGGUGCGAAAGCGUGGGGAGCAAACAGGAUUAGAUACCCCCGUAGUCCCUGUCUCUUAUAC